AUGCAGCGGCAAGAGGAGUCCGGCGAGGACAUCGUGAUCGUGGGCGCCGGGCUCGCCGGCCUCGCCGCCGCGCUCGGGCUGCACAGAAAAGGGGUGAGGAGCCUGGUGCUGGAGUCGUCCCCGGCGCUCCGGGCCUCGGGGUUCGCCUUCGCCACGUGGCCCAACGCCUUCCGCGCGCUCGACGCCCUUGGCGUCGGCGACGAGAUCAGGAAGCUCCACCUGCACAUCGAGGGGCUGCGCGUCAUGUCGGCGUCCACGGGUGAGAUAGCAAAGAAGGUGGAUUUCAGGGACGAGUUCCGCUGCGUCAGGCGCGACGUGCUGCUGCAGGUCCUGGCGGCGGAGCUGCCGACGGGCACCAUCCGCUACUCCUCCAGGAUCGUCUCCAUCGACGACGGCGACGACGACGGCGCCAAGAUCCUCCACCUCGCCGACGGCUCGACUCUCCGGGCAAGGGUGCUGGUCGGAUGCGACGGGAUCAACUCCGUGGUGGCCAGAUGGCUGGGGCUCGCCAAGCCGUCGCACUCCGGGCGCUCCGCCACGCGGGGCCUCGCGCGUUACCCCGACGGCCACGGCUUCCCGCCCAAGUUCCUGCAGCUCUUUGGCAACGGCUUCCGCUUCGGCUUCGUCCCCUGCAACGACACCGACGUCUACUGGUUCUACACAUGGUCUCCCUCCCAAGACGAUGAUGGUGUCGCUGAGAGCGGCGCCAAGAUGAAGCAGUACGUGCUGACGAAACUGAGGAGCUCCAAGGUGCCCGCGGAGGCGCUGGAAUUGGUGGAGAGGAGCGAGCUGAGCGACGACGCGCCCGCCGCACCGCUGCGGUUCCGGCCGCCGCUCUCGCUCCUGUUCGCGGGCAUCAGCAAGGGGAACGUGUGCGUCGCCGGCGACGCGCUGCACCCGAUGACGCCGGACCUUGGCCAGGGCGGCUGCGCGGCGCUGGAGGACGGCGUCGUCCUGGCCAGAUGCCUCGGCGAGGCCAUCCUCGGUGGCGAUGGCGACGGAGCGACAGGCGGGACUGAUGAGAAGGAGAGGAUCGAGUUGGGCCUGCGCAGGUUUGCCGGGAUACGGCGGUGGAGGAGCAUCGAGCUCAUCGGAACGGCCUACGUUGUCGGCUUCUUGCAGCAGAGUGGUAAUAGGAUCAUCAGCUUUCUGCGGGAGAAGGUGCUGGCCGGAGUGCUCGCGGGAAGGCUCGUUAAGAUGUCGGACUACAACUGCGGGACGCUGUCGAGCUAG
rnacentral:rRNA from 1 species